rfam:Schistosoma curassoni strain Dakar, Senegal genome assembly, scaffold: SCTD_contig0006316
AUCCAGCUGACGAGUUCCAAAUAGAACCAAAAACACACGUCCUGGAU